CUAAUGCAUUAGAUCUAUCUACUAUUUUCAUUCUUUAAAAUUACGAAGGAGUCUGUAUUAACAUCACUGUUUACUGGUUAACUUCUUGGGUGAGCUGCAACUACAAAAGUAUGUCCAACAGCCCUCUAACCAUUCAAGGCUCACUUCCAACCUAUGGUGAAAUGGACCAGACGCCCAACAUCUUCUCUGUGUAGAAUUAUCAAAGCGCCAUCCAAAUCAAAGCGCCAUCCAAGCGCCAUCCAAGCGCCAUCCAAGUUCCUCAUUUAAUGAUUAUUUAUCUCGUAUUGUAGCACCUACGAGACCUUCAGUGAAAGGGCUGCCCAAGUUAACUGGAUCCCCUCUACGUCUGGAUCCCCUCUACGUUAAGAACGUAGGUGAGUAUGGGAGCCACGCAUCAGAAAAGCUAAUGCAUCAGAAAUAAAGAAACUGAGCCCAGGGACUCACUGAAGAACAGUUGAUUUCGUCUAUGAGUGAAAUAAGAGCUGGUAAUUUGGCUUCUUGGAAUUUAAAUGGUAUUCCUACAUCGCUACAACUACAAAAACAACAAUCGGUAAACCUAUUGAUUCUAACCGAAAGGGAAGAGGCGGCAGACCUGACAAUCGAUUUGUCGAGACAAUUGGUUCUGCUCUUCGUAAGAUAUGAUGGUAUACGAUACCCAACCUAUUAGAAGUAUGAUGACAAAGUGUUAUGAAGAGUUGGACACAUUGAAUACAGAAUUUACAGAAUUAGUACGAUAGGCCAAUUAAAGAGUGCCAAAAGUGCAUUGCGAGAUAUUACUAAGGUAGGGUUGGUAGGGUUCAUGAUUUUUAAAAAGAAAAUUGUUAUUUAUUCUGUUUUAUAUUAAAACGGGGAAGGGUCCUGUCCUUCACUUCACCAUAUAUUUUGGAACAUUCGAAAUGUCCAACUAGACCAAUAAUAGCUUUGCAUCAUGUCAUGAUGUAGAUUACUUAUAAGAAGUGCACCAGUGCACCAUAACACCAAACUGAUACUGUUCAACCACCUGUGAAAAGGUUAAGGUUAAUGGUCUUGGUUACUUGCUGAAUCCUCAAUUGCGGUAAUUUUCGGGGGACAAAAUAUUCUAUUCGUGGUUCAGCAAUAUUGAAUUUCGUGGAUAAUAUUUUCGUGGUUUGGAGCUAGUACUGCAGGCUUCAUUCGUGGGUAAAAUACCAAAUAAUUAUUACCUCCAACCACGAAAACCACAAAUAUUUUGCCCCACGAAAAAUACGGUAUAUGAUCCAUAAAGUUUGAUCCAUAAAGUUUUUUAUUUAUGAAUACAGUGCAACAACCAAAGAGAGUAGAUUUUUUUUUAUAUUAUUUUUUUCACAUUUUGUGGCAUAUCUUCUGAAGUAAAAGUGAUAUGAUCUAUUUGAGUGCAGGUACUGAAAGUUCAAUUAUUGGCGCUUCCAUUGGACCAUCACCUGUUACAUCGUAUGACAUCAUCACUAUGAAAUGGCUGUCUGAAGAUGUGUACCUCCGAAUUUGUUGUGCAUGUACCCGAGUAUAAUUUUUAUUGCUCAUCUUUUGAGCUUCAACAGAAGUCUGUAAGUUCUAACACCAUUCUGACACCAACAACUAUGCAGAAAAAAAUUUUGCGGUUUAUUUGUGCUAUAUUUAGGAGAUUAACUGUCUCCACUUCUCGGCUGUCUCUGCCCUCCACCUAUGUAAAAAGAUAAGUUAAUACAAUUGUUAUAUGCCUUUUUAUUGUCAGCAUGCUCGUUACUGACAUGGCACUACCACCCAAAAAGAUAAGUAACAAUAACUUGGACUGCUGUUUCAAGUAAUAACAAUUAUUGUAUCCCUUAGCAUUACCUCUUUUUGGUCUCUUUUUGGCCUCUUCGCUGGAGGGAGAGCCUCACUGUCUGGUUCCAUGCACACAUUCGACAAACCUGAUGACUCACCUUCGUCAACUUCAUCAAAUGGUUUGGUCUCAAAUGGUUUGGUCUCGAUGCUGUCUAUUGUCUCUGUCUAUUGUCUCUGGUUACUGCUCUGGUUACUGCUCUGGUUGCUACCACCAGGAAUGUAUUCCCCUCCCAUAUACCACUCUCACUCGAGUGUGUCGUGUGCAAUGCUGUCAGGUGUACGAGGAAACUCAGUGUGUAAUGUAUGCCGAAACUGUUCCAUCACGAGCUCAGUGCGACAUUAUUGUACCUGUGGAACUUAGUUUCAGAAUUUUACCAGACACUGAUUACAUUUUUAUGCGUUAUGUUUCAUAAAGAUCUACGGAUACAUAAUUAUAUCCAAGGUGAACUUACAGACGGAUGGAAAAGAGACGGAUGGAAAAGAGUAAUGACCACACAAUGGGACGAAAAUCAAAAGUAACCAAGAUUCAAGUCGAGUUUAGUUGGCUCUGUUGCACCUGAAUCACAUUUUGAUUCACCUGGAUGCUCAGUCACUGGGAUUUAGUUCACCUGGGUCAUCAGUCACGUCUUUGGGAACAUUUGGCUCACCUCCAGACUCAGUUGCGUGUUCGGACACAUAGGUUGGUAUGGAUACAACAGCUUAUCAAUACGAUUGCGAUGUGAUAGAUGACUUCACUCUUGUGAACGGGAAAUGAUACACUACUUAAAUAUGAUACACUACUUAAAAUGGUAAACUUUCCUCAAAAGUCCGUGUUUAUCAUACCGAAUGUGAAUCCCUACGAGAUCAAAGUGCAUAAAAUAAAGAAGGAAUAGAGACUCAAAUAACUCAAUUAGAAACUUUUAUAAGAACAUGUUAUUUAUGGCACCUCACACACCUCACACGGAGCAAAAAUUUGUAUCCUAAAAAGUUCUUGGCAAGUUCCUUGGUUUUGUGAUUACCAACAACCAAAGAGAGUAGAUUUUUUUUUUUGGUACACAUUUUUUACAUUUUGUAAAGUGAUAUGAUCUAUUUGAGUGCAGGUACUGCCACCACCUGUUACAUCAUCAGUAUAAAAUGGCUGUCUGAAGAUGUGUACUUCCGAAAAUAUGUUAGGAAUAGAAGUACCUUAUUUGUGAUCUGAAAAUUGUUGUGCAUGUACCUGACACCUGAGCUCAUCUUUUGAGCUUCAACGGAAGUCUGGGCUACUAGUAAGUUCUGAGAAAUACUUGUUUUUUGGUGGCAAAUAUGUUAGGAAUACAACUUUCGAUUUUAUAUUAGUUAAGGUUUAAGGUCUGAUUUUUGAGCAGCAUGUACUACAAUAGUGUACUUUUCAUCUGUACUAACUUACAGGAGUUAGGCUAGGACAGGAGUUAGGCUAGGCUAGCCUCUUCUUUGCUAGAGCAGCCCAUCUUCUACAGUGCUUUUUAUGACUUUUGGGGUGAUUUGGCUACGUUUAAGUUUGGCUACGUUUAAGCUCAAUUACCACGCCCCUGGACAUCACAUGACCUUUGGAUGUACCUUUGGAUGUAGCAAAUAACAACAAGAUGAUUAAUGAAUAUCAUUGCAUACGUCAGCAAAAGUAGCAAAACGGAGCAAAAUCACCAUUUUUGACCUCCUGUAAGUUAGACAUCAGAUUUUAACUAGCAUAAAAUCGAAAGUAAGUUGUAUUCCUAAUAACAUAUUUGCCACCAAAAAACAACGGACGGAGAAAACCCGUGUGAACACUGUCACUUGUCACCCUGCGUCGUAGCUACACCACCUAGCUGGUUGAGAGUAGCGGGAACUUGUGCAAGCGAUUCAAGAAGUUUUGGACACUUUUGAGCGUCUUAGGAGCGUCUUAGGAGCGUCUUAGGAGUGUGGAAACACCCUUUAUACAUACUGCACAGGACAGGACAGAGGACAGGACAGAGGACAGGACAGAAGGGAUGUAAUGCCCACUUGUGUGCUAAGGGUAAGUUUCAAGUAUUUUUGUACUUACAUUGCAAAUACAAUCCAUUUUGUUUCUCCAGGAGGUGCGUGGGCGGUUUCCGAACCCACCAGGAGUUCCGUACACAGACUAUAAAUCGUCUUCUUCAUUUAUUGUCCAUGCAAAAAAACAAUUUUUGUUUUUGUUGUUGCUAAAAGUGCUCGCAAAGCUUAACGUUUUUUUAAACCUGGACACUUGCAAAAUGAGCUUUCCUCACAGUCGUCGUGCUUGUUCUGUGAACACAAUUUUUAAUGGUAGCACCGCAAGUGGUUGAUGCCUCGACAAAGCUAUAGACAACAUGAAGGUAGAUGUAGGCUCAUCUGAUA